rnacentral:rRNA from 1 species
GAGUGUGUAACAACUCACCUGCCGAAUCGACUAGUCCUAAAAAUGGAUGGCGCUCGAGCGAGCCUCUUAUACUUGACUGUUACGAUACAACAAGCCAUUUACGGACAUCAUGUCGUAACAAGUAGGACGGUUGAUAUGGUUGCGUCGAAGGCUAACACGUGAGUGUGGCUUGAGCAGUCAUAUGUACAGAUCUUAGUGGUAGUAGCAACUAUUCAAAUGAGAACUUUGAAGACUGACGUGGAGAAAGGUUCCAUGUGAACAGCUAUUGGACAUGGGUCAGUCAGUCCUAAGAUGCGCUCGAAAGAGGGUUCCGAACGAG